CCCGGUCCAAAUUUGGACCUACGAUCUUCUCUUAUUUUUGUGAAUACAUUAGGGUAAAAUAGUCAUUUUGCAUUAGUAGAUUUUUACUGGAUUGCAUAGUAGGAUAUGUGCGAAAAUCCUGCCAAAAUCCGGGGGCAAUUCCGUCAUUUGGAUCCAUUCUCUAUUAUUUGCUAUUAGGAGGGCAAUUAGGUCAUUUCCUAUUAAAAAAAAAAAGAGAGAAAAUGAAUGAGUGAAACAAACCACCUGGAACCUUCUUCUUCAUUUUCCUUCUCCUUGCUUCUUUGUUCGGCCGAUCCUUAACCCUAGAAGAAAAAAAAAUUUCCGGCGAGAAUUUCCGGCAAACUUAAAUACCAAACUUAUUCCUCUCUCACUCCCGAAUCCGGUGGCGAAGCAUCCUCCAAGGGGAAGGAAACCGCCAAUCAGUGUGCGCGUCUCCACGGGAGGCAACAUGUUCUGUUUUAGUGGUUUGGGUCGUCAUAGCGAGGCGAAGUGUUAGCAGUUUGCAUUCCAAGUCAGGUUGUUUAUUUACUGUUAAUCAGAUUGCAUUGUAUGAUUGCAGUGGAUCCACUGGUGUUCUUAACUCUGUAACUGUGAUUUGUAUAUCUUUCACUUUACGGUUGACUCUUCGAGUGAAAGUUUUGCUUUUGGUACC